rnacentral:rRNA from 1 species
GACGAACGCUGGCGGCGUGCUUAACACAUGCAAGUCGAGCGGAGCGGCGAACGGGUGAGUAACGCGUGAGUAACUGCCCCCCUCUCUGGGAUAACAGUUGGAAACGGCUGCUAAUACCGGAUAGUGGGGGGUGACUCGCGUCCUAUCUGCUUGUUGGUGGGGUAGUGGCCUACCAAGGAGACGACGGGUAGCCGGCCUGCGAGGGCGACCGGCCGCAUGGGGCUGAGAGACGGGCCAAAGUGCUACGGGAGGCAGCAGUGGGGAAUAUUGCGCAAUGGGGGAAACCGUGAUGCAGCAACGCGCGGGCGGGAUGACGGCCUGCGGGUUGUAAAACGCUUUCAGCCAUGACGCGGAAGUGGCAGAAGAAGCACCGGCUAACUACGUGCCAGCAGCCGCGGUAAUUC